rnacentral:rRNA from 1 species
UACGUAGGUGGCAAGCGUUAUCCGGAAUUAUUGGGCGUAAAGAGCGCGCAGGUGGUUGAUUAAGUCUGAUGUGAAAGCCCACGGCUUAACCGUGGAGGGUCAUUGGAAACUGGUCGACUUGAGUGCAGAAGAGGGAAGUGGAAUUCCAUGUGUAGCGGUGAAAUGCGUAGAGAUAUGGAGGAACACCAGUGGCGAAGGCGGCUUCCUGGUCUGUAACUGACACUGAGGCUCGAAAGCGUGGGGAGCGAACAGGAUUAGAUA